CCAGCCCGAGCGAGAUUGCGAAGAUCGGCAUCAGGACAAGCUUCAGCGCACAUGAAAGCAGCGCCGGCGCGUCGGGCCGCAGCACGCCCUUGAGUUGCAGUCCCGCGCCGACAACGAGAAGGCCGAUGGCGAGCGAGGAGCGGCCGAGCGCAUCGAUGAAUUCAUCGAUCCAUGUUGGAAGCUUGAGGCCAAUCAGGUUGGCGGCCAGCCCGAGCGCGCAGGCCCAGAUGAAGGG
rnacentral:misc_RNA from 1 species